rnacentral:rRNA from 1 species
AGUGAACGCUGGCGGUAGGCCUAACACAUGCAAGUCGAACGGCAGCACAGUAAGAGCUUGCUCUUACGGGUGGCGAGUGGCGGACGGGUGAGGAAUACAUCGGAAUCUACUUUUUCGUGGGGGAUAACGUAGGGAAACUUACGCUACUACCGCAUACGACCUACGGGUGAAAGCAGGGGAUCUUCGGACCUUGCGCGAUUGAAUGAGCCGAUGUCGGAUUAGCUAGUUGGCGGGGUAAAGGCCCACCAAGGCGACGAUCCGUAGCUGGUCUGAGAGGAUGAUCAGCCACACUGGAACUGAGACACGGUCCAGACUCCUACGGGAGGCAGCAGUGGGGAAUAUUGGACAAUGGGCGCAAGCCUGAUCCAGCCAUGCCGCGUGGGUGAAGAAGGCCUUCGGGUUGUAAAGCCCUUUUGUUGGGAAAGAAAAGCAGCAGGUUAAUACCCCGCUGUUCUGACGGUACCCAAAGAAUAAGCACCGGCUAACUUCGUG